rnacentral:rRNA from 1 species
UACGGAGGGUGCAAGCGUUAAUCGGAAUUACUGGGCGUAAAGCGCACGUAGGGGGCGACGUAAGUCGGGUGUGAAAGCCCCGGGCUCAACCUGGGAAUUGCAUUCGAGACUGCAUUGCUGGAGUACGGAAGAGGAGGGCGGAAUUCCCGGUGUAGCGGUGAAAUGCGUAGAUAUCGGGAGGAACAUCAGUGGCGAAGGCGGCCCUCUGGUCCAGUACUGACACUCAAGUGCGAAAGCGUGGGGAGCAAACAGG